AGUGAACGCUGGCGGCAGGCUUAACACAUGCAAGUCGAGCGAGCGGCGGACGGGUGAGUAAUGUCUGGGAAACUGCCUGAUGGAGGGGGAUAACUACUGGAAACGGUAGCUAAUACCGCAUACGAUCAGAUGUACCCAGAUGGGAUUAGCUAGUAGGUGGGGUAAAGGCUCACCUAGGCGACGAUCCCUAGCUGGCCUGAGAGGAUGACCAGCCACACUGGAACUGAGACACGGUCCAGACUCCUACGGGAGGCAGCAGUGGGGAAUCUUGCACAAUGGUCGCAAGCCUGAUGCAGCCAUGCCGCGUGUGUGAAGAAGGCCUUCGGGUUGUAAAGCACUGUCAGCGAGGAGGCGUUACUCGCAGAAGAAGCACCGGCUAACUCCGUGCCAGCAGCCGCGGUAAUAC
rnacentral:rRNA from 1 species